ACCUGAAUAUCUGAAAUGGGAAAUUCAAUAUAAUAUAUAUAUAUAUAUAUAUAUCUAUAUUAUAUGCACUUUUCCCAUAGUAAGACAUUGCGAUCCAUUGAGUCGUCUAUGUUAAAUAGAUAAUGUUUAUUAAACGGUCUAUAAUGUUCAGUUUAUUUAAUUUAUAUUUUUUUUAAAUUUAUAUUUAAAUAAUGCGUUUGUAGUACCUAAUAAACAAUUGAUGGAGCUUAAUAAUCAUGCCUACAUGUUUUUGAUAUGUAUUACGAUAUGUAAAUUAUAAUAAUUUAUGUAUGCAGUAAUUGCAUGUAUUUGAUUAGCAAUGCGAUAGAUUUAGGAUACCUUCGGGACCCGUCUUGAAACACGGACCAAGAAGUCUAACAUGUGUGCAAGUCAUUGGGUAUCUAAUGUUGAAACCUAAAGGCGAAAUUAAAAUAAAUAUUAAUGGGAUUACAUGUAAUAUAUAUUAUAUAUUAUGUCUCCAUCCCGGGGCGUUCAAUGUUAACAUGGUUUAAGCAAUUGAAUCCUCUGU
rnacentral:rRNA from 1 species